rnacentral:lncRNA from 1 species
CAGAUCUACGUUUAGAAGAUCAAGUACUUUAGUCAGAUUGUUCUAGCCUUAUAAUUAUAGUCUUAUAAUUAUUUACAUUAUUAAAACUAGAGCUAUCACUGAAGGUGAUGAAUGUACUCUUAUCCUAACAUUGGUAAUUUCAGUUGGAGGGUUCAAACUCAUGACCCCUGGUUUUGUAGUCAAACAGUGUUACCCUUGGACCACUGCAUCCACUCUAAUGAUAUGCAUGAGCAUGAGCAUAAUUAUAUAACAUAACUGUGAAAUCAUAUAAUUUUGCAAGCAUAAAAUUUUGAAGUUUUGGCAAAAACAGCUAUUUCUUUGAGGUGUGAAUUUGUUGAUUUCAAAUUAUAACGAUAAACUAUAUUGAAAUAUUACUUGUUUGUUUCAUUUUUUAAAAUUUCAUGAACUAAACUCACAAAAUAGCAAAAUCAAUGAAAAUUAGUCCCCCACAAAUAAUAAUGUAUUCACAGUAUGUUUUUCUUUUUCAUAUCUGAUGUAUAUAAUGCUAAGGAUUUUAAACUGAAUAACAAUCUUAACCACUAACAUAAAUUAUUAAUUAACAAACAUGUGAAUGUAGAAGUUUGGAUAAGCUGUUUAUGUACCUCUUUACCGCCAUAAUCUCUAUUUAACUCAAGGUUGAAUAAUUUAAAGGAUUAAGUUUUAAACAAAUCAAUGGUAAAUGUUUGGAAGAAAUUCAUCUGCUAAAUACUGAAGAAGAUCACAAUUAUGGCAAAUCCCACUAGGCAUCACCUAUAGCAACAACAUACUCACUGUGGUAUGUACGAGUUCAAACCAAAAUGUUUAGAUAUAGGACAGUAACUACUGUUUAUACAUAAAUCCUCAUUAAACAAAAUAUUUUCCUUUGUUGGAAAACUGGCGGGAAGAAAAAAUGUGAAAACAGCAUUCUAUCCUAUUGGCUUUGUUUUAUACAACAUUCCACUGAAGCAAUCAGAUGGUUUUAAGGGUGCUUUUCUUGGAGCAAAAAAAAUCACACCAUUUAAAGGUAUCACAAGAAUGACCAAACGUAUGGUUGAAGUUUUGCCAUGCAAUACAAAUUUCCCUAAUAUUUGUGCCAAGUAGUAUUACCAUCAAAUUCCUUGAUGGAUGCUUGAAUUAUGGAGUGGACAGGGAAAAAUUCUCUGUUGACCUUUAACCUUCAAGUGUGACCUUGAACUAAAAUUAAUCUAGGCGUUUGAAAGUUGUGGAAAUAUAUCAUCUCAUUAUAGUGAAUGUAUGUUAAAAGUAGUACUAAAAUUCCUUUAUGGAUGACAGAAUUAUAGACUGAGCAGGAAAAAGCCCAACUGACAUUUGACCUUCAAAUGUUACCUAGACCUUGAACUAGAGGGCUGAGCGUUGCACAUGAAACACCAUCUCAUUGUGGGAAACAUUUGUGCCAAGUGAUAUUAGAAUCUGUUGUUGGAUUACACAGUUAUGGAAACUCUGCUGAUACCAUGUUCACAUUUGACCUCCAAGUAUGACCUUGGCCUUUAAGCUAGGGCACUGAAAGUUGUGCAAGACCUAUUGUCCUAUUAUAUGGAAUAUAUGUGUCAGUAACAUCACAAUCCUUCAAGGCAAAUGACCAAGUUAUGAAUUGGACACAAAAGUGUGCAUGGACAGAUGGAAAUUCACAUUCUUAUAGAACCUGGAACUGGUUUUCAGCCAGUACACGACGAGUAUAGACAGAGUAUGAAAUCAAACUACCAAUGUACACUUGCAUUAGUACAGAUAUUUAGCAAAUGGAAUUUUCAAAUGAAGUGAAGAAGAAAGUAACACUAAAAUGUCUGAAAAUAAUUAACACAAUGACAUGCUCCUGUACAUAACAAAUUAAU